GUGAACAAGUUUCAUUAUGUGUUUCAUUAUGACUUAAUAUCCUCCUGCCUCUCUGUGUUUCUUUCUCUGUUCAGGUUCAGCAGAGGCAGCCUCUACUUGGAAAUUGCCAAGCUCUUUUCUACAGUACACUCCCACCAUCCAGUGAUGUGUCUUUGAAGUACAAAUAUGGCCGCUUGGUUCUGGAGGUCCCGUUGCCGUCCAGGAAUGAGAAGUGUCUGUUCUUCCUCAGACCCAUGCUGAUGAGUGUGGGAGACCUGAUCAAAGAUCUGCAGAGAGAGGACCCUGGAGCGGCUGCUUCCAUUUUCUCCAAGGGUGGAGGAGGACAUGAGACGCCUGAAAUACCCAACUCAACUUCAGCUGCCACUCGAACAGAUCCUGCCAAAGCCUUGAGCGAAGUCAAGCCAUGAAGAGUCGUCACUCACACCCACACGCGAGGAAGCAAAAAAAUCCAUUGAAUCCAUGUCAUGUCAUUCUGUGUUCUGUUUACAAUCUUGAUAACGAUGCCAAUAAUGUCUUUGAGAACAAUACUAACACCAAGGACUGUUGAAAUAAAAAGUAUUUCCCCAACAUUGGGAGCAUCUCCA